rnacentral:rRNA from 1 species
UACGUAGGGUGCGAGCGUUAAUCGGAAUUACUGGGCGUAAAGCGUGCGCAGGCGGUUUUGUAAGCCAGAUGUGAAAGCCCCGGGCUUAACCUGGGAACUGCAUUUGUGACUGCAUUGCUGGAGUGCGGCAGAGGGGGAUGGAAUUCCGCGUGUAGCAGUGAAAUGCGUAGAUAUGCGGAGGAACACCGAUGGCGAAGGCAAUCCCCUGGGCCUGCACUGACGCUCAUGCACGAAAGCGUGGGGAGCAAACAGG